rnacentral:rRNA from 1 species
UACGUAGGGUGCGAGCGUUGUCCGGAUUUAUUGGGCGUAAAGAGCUCGUAGGCGGUUUGUCGCGUCGGCCGUGAAAUCUCCACGCUUAACGUGGAGCGUGCGGUCGAUACGGGCAGACUUGAGUUCGGUAGGGGAGACUGGAAUUCCUGGUGUAGCGGUGAAAUGCGUAGAUAUCGGGAGGAACACCAGUGGCGAAGGCGGCGACCUGGGCCAAUAUUGACGCUGAGGUGCGAAAGCGUGGGGAGCAAACAGG